rnacentral:rRNA from 1 species
UACGUAGGGGGCAAGCGUUGUCCGGAUUUACUGGGCGUAAAGAGCGCGUAGGCGGAGAUCUAAGCGUGGCCUGAAAGCCCCCGGCUCAACCGGGGAGUGCGGCUGCGAACUGGGUUCCUUGAGGACGAUAGAGGAGAGUGGAAUUCCUGGUGUAGCGGUGAAAUGCGUAGAUAUCAGGAGGAACACCCGAGGCGAAGGCGGCUCUCUGGGUCGUACCUGACGCUGAGGCGCGAAAGCGUGGGGAGCGAACAGG